rnacentral:rRNA from 1 species
GAUGAACGCUGGCGGCGUGCCUAAUACAUGCAAGUCGAGCGAACAGACGAGGAGCUUGCUCCUCUGACGUUAGCGGCGCACGGGUGAGUAACACGUGGAUAACCUACCUAUAAGACUGGGAUAACUUCGGAAAACCGGCGCUAAUACCAGAUAAUAUAUUGAUCCGCAUGGUUCAAUAGUGAAAUACGGUUUUGCUGUCACUUAUAGAUGGUUCCGCGCCGCAUUAGCUAGUUGGUAAGGUAACGGCUUACCAAGGCAACGAUGCGUAGCCGACCUGAGAGGGGGAUCGGCCACAUGGGAACGGAGCAACGGCCCAGAUUCCUACGGGGGGCAGCAGAAGGGAAUCUUCCGCAAUGGGCGAAAGCCGGACGGAGAAACGCGGCGGGAUUGAUGAAGGUCUUCGGAUCGUAAACCUUUGUUAUUAGGGAAGAACAAAUGGGGAAGUAAAAAUGCACGUCUUGACGGUACCUAAUCAGAAAGCCACGGCUAACUACGUG